rnacentral:rRNA from 1 species
AAUCAACGCUGGCGGCGUGCCUCAGACAUGCAAGUCGAACGCGGAAAGGUUCCUUCGGGGACCGAGUAGAGUGGCGCACGGGUGAGUAACACGUAGGUAAUUUGCCUUUGGGUGGGGGAAUAACUCAGGGAAACUUGAGCUAAUACCGCAUAAUGGCAGCGGCUCGACAUCGAGACAGUUGUUAAAGCGGGGGAUUCGCAAGAACCUCGCGCCUAAAGAGAAGCCUGCGGCAGAUAGCUAGUUGGUAAGGUAAUGGCUUACCAAGGCGACGAUCUGUAACCGGCCUGAGAGGGCGGUCGGUCACACUGACACUGACAUACGGGUCAGACUCCUACGGGAGGCAGCAGUCGGG